rnacentral:rRNA from 1 species
UACGUAGGAGGCGAGCGUUGUCCGGAUUUACUGGGCGUAAAGGGUGCGUAGGCGGUCGGGUAAGUCUGACGUGAAAUCUCCAAGCUCAACUUGGAAAUGGCGUCGGAUACUAUUCGGCUCGAGGAAUGGAGGGGAGACUGGAAUUCUCGGUGUAGCAGUGAAAUGCGUAGAUAUCGAGAGGAACACCAGUGGCGAAGGCGAGUCUCUGGACAUUUCCUGACGCUGAGGUGCGAAAGCUAGGGUAGCAAACGGG